UCGAGAAUAUUUUCCAAUGCGCGAAAGCGUGAGAAUGCGACGCCGCGUGGAGGACGAAGGCCUUCGGGUCGUAAACUCCUUUUAAGAGGGAAGAAAAGUCGAAGGUUAAUACCUUUCGACCGUGACGUUACCUUUUGAAUAAGCAACGGCUAAACCUGUGCCAGCAGCCGCGGUAAUACAGGUGUUGCAAGCGUUACUCGGAUUCACUGGGUGUAAAGGGUCAGCAGGCGGCUUUGUAAGUCUUAGGUGAAAUCCAGCGGCUCAACUGCUGAACUGCCUAAGAUACUGCAUGGCUAGAGUACGAUAGAGGAGAGUGGAACAGCUAGUGUAAAGGUGAAAUUUGUGGAUAUUAGCUGGAACGCCAACGGUGAAGACAGCUCUCUGGAUCGUUACUGACGCUCAGGGACGAAAGCGUAGGGAGCAAACAGG
rnacentral:rRNA from 1 species